rnacentral:rRNA from 1 species
GGGUGAGGAGAGCGAGGGGAGUGUUAGGGAGCGCGGCGGCGUGUGUGUCUCCGCUCUACGGAGCACGAACUUGGGGGGAGUGUCGGAGAGGAUGGAAGCAAGCGAGGACCGAGGCGGUUCGGCGCGGCGACGGUACGGAGCCACGAUCGGAAGGUACAGGGGAACCGGGGCUGCGGCGGGAGACGGAGGUUGGCGGCCGCGGAGCAGCAGGAAGCACGCGGGCGCGGGUUCCUUAGCGGCGGUUGGUCUCGUUGGAGCGGCAGCGGGCUUCGACGGAGCGGCCUGGCGAAGGAGUGGCCUAGAGGAGGGGAGGCAGCGAGCAGGGGUAGGAGGAGGUGCGACCUGCGGUAGCUC